ACCAUCAGAGGCUCAAGAUGAACUUCCAUACCUGUUUGUUAUGCCUGGUGUUCUCUCUGCAGGUCAGAGACAGCAGAGCCGUCGAUGCAUUGAAACAGUACGGAGUAUCAGGAGAAAACGUCACCCAUCCCUGCUUGUUUAUCUUGCAUGGAAUGGGAAAUAAACCAGGGAAGAUCUUCUGCAGGGAAACAUGUGAAGGAGAAAACCUUCUUGUUGAAACAAGUGAUGACACAGCUCAGAACGGACGAUACAGAACCAAAUAUGUUAGAGAAACUUCCAAAACUUACUCUGUUCUGUCUGUGAGCAUCUCGGGACUGAACUGGUUCGACUCAGGUCUGUACAGAUGUGGUUUGGGUGACUCUUCAUCUUCAGCUUCAUACCAGGACUUCAGAUUGGUUGUUGUAGACGCUCUGCUGGAUGGAAACAAAGAUCAUCACUUCUAUAAAGAAGCUGGUAGCUCGCUCACAGUCGCCUGUUUCUUUAAGUACACCGGAAAAAAACGAUUGUUCUCAAGAGGAGGACCUGGAGAUGAAGAAGUUCUUGUUCGGACAGAUGGAGAACGCGGUGAAAGAGGCAGAUACAGUUUAGAAUAUGAUAGACGACCCUCAGGAGGAGUUCUGCUGGUGACCAUCACCCAGCUGACCCAGUCUGACUCAGGACGGUACCGAUGUACGAUGGACAGAACAUUUUUACCAGAUUUACACAGAGACUUCAGCAUCAGUGUCACCAAUGCAGCUGAUCCAUCAACCUCCACACCAACAACCACAGACGGUUUAAGCUCCAGUUCAGGAAGUGUCACCAAUCUAAGUAGGAAGACUCUGACAUCUUCUGACAAUCCAUCCAGACACAAUGUUCUGCUGAUGGUGCUGACUUUGACCAUCUCCAUCAACCUGUUAUAUGUGGCUCUGCUGGUUUUCUGCAGAAAGACGCGUGGUAAAGCUCAAACAGCUCCUGAUGCACAAAUGGAGCAAACAUCUGAGACCGAGGCUGGCACAAUUUAUGAGAAUCUCAGUGAGGAGGUCUGGAGAUGUGCUGAUGUGGCGAUCCACUCAGGUUUGGGAGAAGACCCAAACGGGAGAGCAACAGGAGCUGACAGGGAUGACGACAGCAUCUCACUUCUCAGCUCACCCUGCUGAUUGUUUCAGGUUGAAGGAGCAGAGAAGAAGCUCAGAUGGACCAAACAUGGAGAAUAUCAUCAUGGUGGCUGCUCACGCACAGAGUCCGGGUUUUUCUCCCAGCAACCAGAACCACAUCCCGUCUACAGUCUCACAGCCAACAUGAGACCCUGGGUCCAGGCCCAGAUUCGGUUUCUGGAGCUCAGGGUUGCAGUUUGUUCACUGAAGCUGAUGAAAUCUGGACGUAGACAAACUAAACACAGAAGAAAAUGUCUCUGUGUUUCUUUAGUUUUGGCUACAUGUGAUUUUAAAUCACAGAUAUUUAUGACAUUAAUUGAUUUUUACUGCUGGUUCAUCGUUGUAAUCAUGAAUUAAUGACUUGCUUGGAUUAAAAGGUUAGGAUGAAAAAGCUCUA